UGUUUCGGCUAGGGGGCCAUCCCGGCUUACCAACCCGAUGCAAACUGCGAAUACCGGAGAAUGUUAUCACGGGAGACACACGGCGGGUGCUAACGUCCGUCGUGAAGAGGGAAACAACCCAGACCGCCAGCUAAGGUCCCAAAGUCAUGGUUAAGUGGGAAACGAUGUGGGAAGGCCCAGACAGCCAGGAUGUUGGCUUAGAAGCAGCCAUCAUUUAAAGAAAGCGUAAUAGCUCACUGGUCGAGUCGGCCUGCGCGGAAGAUGUAACGGGGCUAAACCAUGCACCGAAGCUGCGGCAGCGACACUGUGUGUUGUUGGGUAGGGGAGCGUUCUGUAAGCCUGUGAAGGUGUGUCGUGAGGCAUGCUGGAGGUAUCAGAAGUGCGAAUGCUGACAUAAGUAACGAUAAAGCGGGUGAAAAGCCCGCUCGCCGGAAGACCAAGGGUUCCUGUCCAACGUUAAUCGGGGCAGGGUGAGUCGACCCCUAAGGCGAGGCCGAAAGGCGUAGUCGAUGGGAAACAGGUUAAUAUUCCUGUACUUGGUGUUACUGCGAAGGGGGGACGGAGAAGGCUAUGUUGGCCGGGCGACGGUUGUCCCGGUUUAAGCGUGUAGGCUGGUUUUCCAGGCAAAUCCGGAAAAUCAAGGCUGAGGCGUGAUGACGAGGCACUACGGUGCUGAAGCAACAAAUGCCCUGCUUCCAGGAAAAGCCUCUAAGCAUCAGGUAACAUCAAAUCGUACCC
rnacentral:rRNA from 1 species